rnacentral:tRNA from 1 species
AUUUUAAUAAUUUAAUCAAAAUAUUGGUCUUGUAAACCAAAAAUAAGUAAUCUUUUAAAAUU